rnacentral:rRNA from 1 species
UACGUAGGGGGCAAGCGUUGUCCGGAAUCAUUGGGCGUAAAGCGCGUGUAGGCGGCUUGGUAAGUCUGCUCUGAAAGCCCGGGGCUCAACCCCGGGAGGCGGGUGGAUACUGUCAAGCUCGAGUCCGGAAGAGGAGUGUGGAAUUCCUGGUGUAGCGGUGAAAUGCGCAGAUAUCAGGAAGAACACCCGUGGCUAAGGCGGCUCUCUAGUACGGUACUGACGCUGAGACGCGAAAGCGUGGGGAGCGAACAGGGAUCAUAACCGUAACCGUAGGUC